GUGCCCACUUGGGCAGCACAUACACUGAAAUUGGAAUGAUACAGAGAAGAUUAGCAUGGCCCCUGUGCAAAGAUGACAGGCAAAUUCAUGAAGUGGUCCAUGUUUUU